GGACGUAGGCCGUCCGCCUUUGCACGGCGGAGGUCAGGGGUUCGAAUCCCCUCGGCUCCA
rnacentral:tRNA from 1 species